GACAUUUGGUAGAGACUGUUGAAGCUACCUGGUCACAGCAGACCCCGAAAGGCGGCCACAUUCACUGGUGCUGGGGCAAGGUCAUUAAGGGUGAAGCCUGGUACCAGAUGUGU
ensembl:rRNA 5S_rRNA 5S ribosomal RNA